GGAGAGGUGCCGGAGUGGCCGAACGGAGCUCACUGCUAAUGAGUUGACCUCGCAAGGGGUCCGUGGGUUCGAAUCCCACCCUCUCCGCCA
rnacentral:tRNA from 1 species